rnacentral:rRNA from 1 species
GACGUAGGAGGCGAGCGUUGUCCGGAUUUACUGGGCGUAAAGCGUGCGCAGGCGGCUAUGCAAGACAGAUGUGAAAUCCCCGGGCUUAACCUGGGAACUGCAUUUGUGACUGCAUGGCUAGAGUACGGUAGAGGGGGAUGGAAUUCCGCGUGUAGCAGUGAAAUGCGUAGAUAUGCGGAGGAACACCGAUGGCGAAGGCAUCCCCUGGACCUGUACUGACGCUCAUGCACGAAAGCGUGGGGAGCAAACAGG